UACGUAGGGUGCAAGCGUUAAUCGGAAUUACUGGGCGUAAAGCGUGCGCAGGCGGCUUUGCAAGACAGAUGUGAAAUCCCCCGGCUUAACCUGGGAACUGCGUCUGAUACUGGAGGGCUUGAGUGCGGGAGAGGGAUGUGGAAUUCCAGGUGUAGCGGUGAAAUGCGUUGAUAUCAUCAGGAAUACCGGAGGCGAAGGCGGCUCACUGGGUCUCUUCUGACGCUGAGGAACGAAAGCUAGGGGAGCAAACGGG
rnacentral:rRNA from 1 species